rnacentral:rRNA from 1 species
CAGCAGCCGCGGGAAUACGUAGGGUGCGAGCGUUAAUCGGAAUUACUGGGCGUAAAGCGUGCGCAGGCGGUUUUGUAAGACAGGCGUGAAAUCCCCGGGCUCAACCUGGGAAUGGCGCUUGUGACUGCAAAGCUAGAGUGCGGCAGAGGGGGAUGGAAUUCCGCGUGUAGCAGUGAAAUGCGUAGAUAUGCGGAGGAAUACCGAUGGCGAAGGCAGCCCCCCGGGCCAAUACUGACGCUCAUGCACGAAAGCGUGGGGAGCAAACAGGAUUAGAUACCCCCGUAGUCCCUGUCUCUUAUAC